AUGUAAUGUAAUGCCUACAAUGUCAAUGCAAUGGAUCCCAUCAGAACUCCACAAUUAAGUGUGCUUGGACUAGAGUAAUACUAAGAUGGGUGACCUCCUAAGAAGUCCCAGUGUUUUACAUG
rfam:Picea glauca, whole genome shotgun sequence.